rnacentral:lncRNA from 1 species
GAGGCGUGGUCUUGGACUGGGGAGAGGCCGCGCUUCCUGACCCGGUCCCUCUGCACCAGCGUGGAGGGGGGAGGGGCGCGCACCCUUUCCGCCCAGGCUUUUGCGGGCUCCUCGGGCCGAACCCGAAGGGGCUGUUCCUGAACCUUGACUUGUUAUCAUAGGGACCCAAGCUCUAUUUUUGUGUGGCCAAUUCGUGCACUGCAGCAAAAUGGCCCUUCAGUCGCGUCUUGGGGUUUCUCCUCGGUUCAAAUGCUCUCGCGCUGAGAAAAAGCCGGAGGAAAAAAAAGCGACACCCUCCCUCCCCCAUUAAUUAUUUGUGGGGCCGGAGUAACGCGGGCUGGUGCAACCGGUGCAUAUAAGGACUUGUGUGCAAGGAAGGGGAUCCGCCUCCAGGCGCGGAAAGAGUAGGGAAGAAGCGCACACGCACAGUGCACCCAGCUGGGCGCUUCGGCAGUUUGCAGCUGCGGCGGGGUCGGGUCCACCCGCGGUCCCCGGAAUGCCGGACGGCUGAUCCCGGGUGCUGGUCACUCGCCGAUUCGGGGCUGGGAAGGUUUGCCAGAAGCGGGAAAGAUGGGAGAUCUGAGCGCUCUCUUGGCAUCGCCACACCCAGGACUUGCUCGUGCCGCAAUUCCCCACGGAAACAACCGAGUUGAAACGAGAAGCUUGCUCUCUGGGUGCAGUAGCUAGAAGGCUUCAGGUAACUCCAAAGCCAACACUGGGUGAGGCAACACACGCCGCCUCAGGACUCAGCAUUUCUUUCAGGCUGCGUUUUCGUGGCAGACCUACCCAGAUUGAUGGAGAAAGUUUGGCUGGCGGAUAAGAAGUAACGCGGAAGAUGUGUACGUGAGAGCGAUUUCACUUCACUCACUUUCUCAUUUAAAGAUUAUUGUGGCUGUCACUCAGGUUUUCUGCUCAUUGGUAGACAAAGGGUGAGGAGGUGACUGAAAUUGGAACAGUGGAAGGACCCUUCACCAAAACCUGGAACUUCAGAAGAAUGGCAGGGCUGAAAAUGAUUAGUGUUAAUUCAUUCCAGUUGUGUUACCCUACCCAUAAGACUGCCUGAAGGAGCCUGAACUUCCACGUGCUGUCUUCCAUAUAAUGUGAUCUGAGGUGAAGAGCAUGGUCCCUGGAGUUGAACUGCCUGAAGUAAAUCCCAAAAUAGAAAAAUAAAAAUAAAACAGUGGUUUUAUUGUUUUUAUUUCUUGUUUCUCAUUGAUAGGUAGAUAGAGAGUUUUCUUUAAAAGCCUAGUGCUUUUGGGAUAAUAAUGGCAAGUGAUUACAUCUCUUUUGUAUUAAAUAGGUUUGGAGAAAUUUUCUUAAUUAUCUGGUACUAUUUAAACUCAAAGGCAAACACAACACUCUAUCUAAAAUACCAGUAUUACACUUUCCCUAAAUGCAGAAAACUAUUUUUACUAAAAAUUUGGCAAGCACUUUCAAAACAGCAUUUUUCUGUUUUCAUUCCUUGAGAAUUUCCUAACAAGUAUGC